UUGGUUUGUUUUUUUUUUUUUUUUUUUUUUCCCUCGUUAAGUGAGCGUGACUAAAGAAGACAGUUCUUGCAGAAAGUGCCCAUCAAAGGAUUCUGUUAGAAUCAAGAAGACUUUGUGAAACCCCUAACAUCUGUAUCCACAUCCCACACGGUGACUCUGCAAUGAACCCUACUACCCCAGAGACUCUUUCACCUCCAGCUGGUUUCUGUAGUCAGUGAAGAUUUGCACAUCUGGAGUCUUGAAUCAGCACUUUUGUUCCACCUCUGCAUUCCUUCAUUCUUGACCAGUGGUUCUUGUGCCUCUACUCAAGCCUUGCAGAAGUUCUAUAAAGAAUGGUAGGCUGUCAUAGCCAUUUGGUGCCUCUGUAGUGUUUUCAGUUUAAAGUAUGAGUUGUGAGAUGGUGAUUUGUAGGAAAUUUUGGAGGCUAACAGUAGGCUGUAGGUCCAAAAAGACUGGAAACAAAUGUUCUAGCAGCUACUCCCCUUCAGCUGUAUCUUUUGGCACAGUUCGAUGUCAUCAGCAAAAUACAGUUUUCAUUGAGUCGAGGGAUGCACAAAGCAUGCCAGUACAUUGAAACCCGGAGGAACUUUCCAUCUCUUUAACCCUACUGUAGACAUUCCUGGUUCCUUCAGAUAGUUUAUUUGGAUUUAAUUAAUUGAAAAAAACCUUUGAAAAAUCAUAAGCUUAAUCAAGUCCAUAUACUUGCUUUUGAGCAAGAGUCACUACAUGUGGUAUAAAAGGGUAUUGCCACAGCAAUCUGGACUCUCACCUUAACCUGUCCUCCUGCUAAAAUGGAAACAAAGCCAAAGACAGUGCCAAAAGAGAGGGGUGGCUUUUGCUGGCCUCUUCCUUUCUUUUCUCCCACCUCUCAUCUCCCCUUUGCCCUCCAGUUCCAAAUACCUUUUGGUUUAAUUUAUCUGCCUCUGCAUUUAGAAGAAGACAAUAUUGGAUGUUUCCCUUUUAAAUCUGGGGAAGUGGAGUUUGCUCAUUACCUAACCUUUAUUUGGAGCCCUCGUCAGCAGACAGGCUGGUCAGGAAGGUCAGGGAGGUCAGAAAGGAGAGAUGGAGAGAAUGAGGGACAGAAGCUUGUGAUCUCUUGACAAAAGGGAAGAAUCAGGCAUGGAAUCAAAACAGGAGUAGGAGGAGGGUCUAAAGGUGAUGGGUAGCUGGUGGAGAUGGAGGGAUAGGAGCUACAUAGGCAACAGGCAAGGAUGAAGUCCUUGAAAAAGGCUGGCAAAAAUCAAGCAAUCUCGGAUAUGACCAAUUCUGCACUCCACAAGAGUGAAACUAUUCCCUCCUGUCAUUUCUGUGACACUGCCCCAAGACCCCCACUGCUGCUAGAGCUCCAUUAUCUGAGGCAUUGUGCCUCACACCAGUGACGUGCUCACUGCCACAAGGACCUUACAGUUUAGCAUGACCCAAAAUGCAGCAAAGAGUGUGACAAAAUAUUGUAUGAGACCAGUAGAGGAAGAACAACUGGAGCCUUGGAAGCCUCCACUGCAUUUUACAUUUUGUAAUGUCACGGUUACAGUCAAAGUAAAUAAUGGACAAGUCACGUACACACACAGCAGCAACCCUCCCUCCAUCUCAGCCAUUUCCACUGUCUUUUUCUCCCAUUCAAGAAUGAGGAAAUCCCAAGCCACCCGAUUUAACCUCUUGUCCAAGGGCAGAAGGCUAGCACAGGCACAGCUGAAGCACAGCACGUGCUGCUAGAGAUCACAGCUUUGACUUGUAGCAUUCUGUGAGAGCAGCAGUAGGGAGCAGCUGGACACGUAGUAGCUUUGCCCUGACUCAGCCUGGAACAGCCCAUCUCUGUCCCUCAUUCUGCCCUGCACCGUACUGUCACAGCUCUUUGCAAGUGAGCUGGGUACAGAAGUUACUUUUCAGCUGGAGCAGUUCCCAGCCCAGCUCCCAGGGAAGGCAUAUAAAUAUUCUGCCAGCCAGAGUGGGAAGAGUGUCAGGGGCAGGGCUUGUAGAAGCUGCUGGAGCUGCUCUGCUCCAGAGGCACAGGACUGGCCUCAGCUGUGCAUGUGGGAAGCAGGUUGUUUUACUAAACUGCAUUUUCAGAUGCCUAAAAUGGAUUUUGGUACUCAAGUUGAACACCUUAGGUUUCAUUUUGCUAGGAUGGUAAUCACUAAGCCAGCAGUUCACCUCCACCAGAGUGAGGAGCCCUGUUCCCAGACAUGCCAUCCCAUCAUCUCUCUUUUGUCAGCCCUGCUACCUGUGAAUGAGUGAAUGAAGCCCUGCAGUCACCAGUGUUGGUCACUAACCCAGCAGGAACGUGACCCAUGAAAGAACCAGCUGCCUGGUCUUCUGCUGUGCCAUUGAGUUGUAUCAGCUCACGGGCAAGUCAGAUAAGCUCCAGAGCCACCACAGAUGAGGAGGCAGGCUCUUUGGCUGGGAAGAAGUUUGGGUUAGAGGAGAAGGAAAAGAAGGAACAAGACUUCCCCCUUAUGGCAAGAUCAAGCCACUGGAUAUGCUUAGGUGCUCACAGAUACAGCUGGAGAGGUCAAUUUACACGUGUUAAACCAGGAAUACACAAACUCUGCAGGAGCUGGAAGUGCUGCAAUUUACUGCUAUCCCUAAAUUCACUCCUAUUUUAUAUAAACAUGGUCCUAGUUCAACAUCUCUUAUUCAUUUAGAAAUACUGAUUAAAGAAGUUUUAGUGAAUAAAAUUGGAGAAAAAUCAGCCUACAGGCUUCUGCACUUUGAGGAAACAAGUACCUUUUGAGGAUAUAUUGAGGUACAUCCCCUAACUAUCAUUUGUACAUAGUAUAAGUAAAACUCAUUAUAAAGAGAAUGCAAUUUUAAACCACACAAGUGUAAAUUUCCCAUGCGUGCCUAAUGCGGAGCAGUACCAUUGGUUUAAAUCAGCCUUUUCAGUGUCCCUCACCCCUGCCAGUUCCUGGGAUUAAUGUGCCCUACCUGCCUUAAGAGAGGGAAGAUGUUCAUCCUUGCUAAGCUCCCUCUCACCACACACUGGAAAAAAAGUUCAAAUAGAGUUUCCCUCUUCAUGCCAGGCCUGCAUCACUUCUAACUGCUCAUCCUUCUAGCACUGGCUUUGUCCUCACUUAACAGAGCAUACUAUGACAUGGCCUGGAGCUACCCACAAAGAUAGCAAUUACUGCUCUCUGUAUUGUUGGCCUGGUUUUCAAGAGGCCUGGGCAGUCCUACUUCUUCAAGGAGCAAAAGGGCCUGAGGAUACCAUCACCUCUGGAAAUCAGGCCAUUAGGGACAAGAAGAGGAUGUGAAGGAAGGCAUGGGGGCUGGUAGGAAAGCAUUGCUUCCAUUCAAGGAGCACAUCAGUGAGAAGCAGCCACAGUCAAGGGGAGAGAGUAAAUAAUCUAACAGAACUUUCUUGCAGCCCAAAAAGUCCCGUGAAAGCCUGGAUGGCUGCACACCACGUCUCUGAAAGCAAUGACAAAUCACAUUGUGGUUGAGGCAUGUAAAAUAGUUCUGUCAAGGCAGCGGCUCCUGGCGUGGCCAAUUUGUCUCAGUGAGACAGUCAUCCUUAGUGCUGCUGCCUGCUUAAUGCUGGGGCCUUGAGGGCAACUAAACUAUCUUCUGACUGAAGUUCUGGGCUGAGGCUUCCUCCAAAGGAGAGAAAUGUAUCAACUGGACAAAGCCAUUCCUUGCGGUGCCACCGCUGGGGGUAGCUCACUUCCGUACUUUCCACCAAGGAGGAAGGUGAGAAGCUGCUGGAUCUGCUGAGCAGCACCCGGAGCCACGGUCAGCCUCAGCAAAUGACUGCUCCUCCCAGCGUGGGACCCAGCUGUGGCUUCCCGUCACCUUUCCAGCCUUGGAGUGCCCUGACUUGGCUGUGAUUACUGCUCAGCAGCACAGCUGCAGGGCAGCAGAGCACGGGCUGCAGUACAUCUGCUCAGCAGCACUUUUCCUCACACAGCUUUCCACCCAGGAAUCCUAUUGUCAUGAGACAUUAGAUGUUUUAGGCUCAUUAAUUCUGGUGACACAAUCCAGAAAUGUAUUUUUAGAGGGAGUGAGCAGGUGUCCAUGGCAGCAUUUUAGCUGACAGUGCUGCAGAAUUGCUAUCCAGGAGUACUUGGUUGUUCUUUGCAUCUUGAUUUGUUGCUGAAAAAUGUGGUUAUUAAUAUUUUACCUCUUCUUAGCUUCAGGAAUGGCCUGGAUGAGACAAAGGGAAACAUUUGCACUCUUGAAUGAACUUUGAUCUAUCACACUUCCACUAGGAAACUAGACAAGUGGUGCUAAUACUAAUGAUUCAUCUGUAGUAUUGAUUGUAGAUGAUGGUUGGGAAAGAGAAUGAAAAUAAGAAAUUAAAACUAAUGACUGUACUAGACAGAGAAAAUAUUUUUGUUCAGAAAAUUACAUCAAAAUCAUGUCCUUUUUUUCCACAAGAAUUAGAAAUCUGCAUAAAAUUAUUCAGUCAGAAAAUUGGUUGGUAGUGUUAAAAAUAAUGAAAAUCUAUAUUCACAGUUACAAACUAUUUUCUUUUCUUUUCUUUUUUUUUUUUUUUGCAUAACUACCUUAAAUUGAAUCUUUAAGGCUGCUGUAAUAUCAUCCUCCAUCAAUAUUUUUAAAAUGCUAGGCUCAUAGAGCUCAUUUUCUAGAAGGAACCAUACAGUAAGUGAGUGUGACCCAAGCCCAUCUGAAUGUAAUUACAAGGAUGGCAAACUGGUUUCUAAUGACAAUCACAAGCAUCAUGUUUGAAUCUACAAAUAGUUUAGUUUGUCUGAGCUCCCACUCUUUGUGUAUGUACCUAUAAAUUUUAGUUUGCUGCAGCAAAGUUCAGGACAUUCUGCUGGCCUUGGGAAAUGAAGGACUGAUUUCCCAUUGCUGAAUAUGAACAGAGGUGCUGCUGUAUAGAGGCUGAAGUGGUCUUUAAAAUCAUACAAAAAACCCUGUCAAGAAAUUCAUUACCACAGAGAAGCCUAUUACAAAUAUGUGGUCUGACCACAGGGCAGCUAUUUGGAAGCAAAUCAAAACUGAGGAGAAAAAAAAGAUUUUUCAAAUUCACUGAUACUCAUUUCAAUUAAUAGCCCACCUGCUAAGUGUAACAAACCUGAACAUAUUGUGAUCAUUAUUGCUCUAAAGCAGUCUUUUGUCAAAAAACCCCAAAACCAAGCUAGAGACAAUGCUGAAAGACAAAUCAAUGCCAGUGCCACUCUCUCACAUACUGAGGUAAAAGGUUGAUUCUUGCAAAGGCUAGAACAAAUUCCUUGUCUUUAGGCUAAGAAUGAUUAACUAUUACUCACAAAGACACCAGAAAAAUAUGGAGAGCAGGAGGGAGUGCUGAGGUCUUAGCCCUCAAGAGCUGUGGUUGUGCAUGAAGAGAUUUACAUUUCUCAAGGUGAAUACUGCCCUGCUCUGAGACCAGGAAUUAGCAGACAAGCUCACUGCAUUUAGGAAGAGGUUUGAAGGAUCGAAGCCUGAAGCAGUUGACCUUUCCCACCUCUCUUUCCAGGAUGCUGGAGACUUCUCAAAUGGCUUUGAAUGUCAAGCAAUCAGAAGAAGUAAAGUCUGGAAGACCUGAAAAACAUUAAUAAUUUUUUUGAACCUCAAGAGUAGUUUUUAUGGAAGAUACUCUAUCCUUGUAAAACAUUAUGGUUUGCUGGUGCUGAAAUGCCAGAAGGAUUUGUAGUGACUUCCACCAAACCACCUGAAAAGUAGGUCAGUAGCUAUACAAUUUCAAGAGAUCUGCAAUGCUACAGCAGAAACUGAGUUAAUCCUGAUGUAUAUGAUGAAUAUUCCUCCUAACCUCUCUGCAGGGGACAGUGUGGACAUGAAUAUAUCUUCAUUAAUCUUUA